rnacentral:rRNA from 1 species
AAAGGGUCCUGAGGUGGUUUGCCCAGUCUACUGUGAAAGAUCAGGGCUCAACCCUGAAAAUGCGGUGGAAACUAGCAGGCUAGAAUACGGUAGGGGCAGGGGGAAUUCCCGGUGUAGCGGUGAAAUGCAUAGAUAUCGGGAAGAACACCAAUGGCGAAAGCACCCUGCUGGGCCGAUAUUGACACUGACAGACGAAAGCUAGGGGAGCAAAUGGGAUUAGAUACCCUGGU